rnacentral:snoRNA from 1 species
AGUUAUAGAUAAUGAUGAUAAUUAAGAUAAGAUUUGUUUUUUCCGAAGAUUUUUUAAAGUAAUAAAUUGAAAAGAAAUUUAUACGUUGAGUCAAAUUCUGAAAACU